rnacentral:rRNA from 1 species
UACGAAGGGGGCUAGCGUUGCUCGGAAUCACUGGGCGUAAAGCGCACGUAGGCGGCUUUUUAAGUCAGGGGUGAAAUCCUGGAGCUCAACUCCAGAACUGCCUUUGAUACUGAGAAGCUUGAGUCCGGGAGAGGUGAGUGGAACUGCGAGUGUAGAGGUGAAAUUCGUAGAUAUUCGCAAGAACACCAGUGGCGAAGGCGGCUCACUGGCCCGGUACUGACGCUGAGGUGCGAAAGCGUGGGGAGCAACAGGAUUAAGAU